GACAGAGGGUGCAACCGUUGUUCGGAAUUACUGGGCGUAAAGCGUACGUAGGCGGCUUUGUAAGUUAGAGGUGAAAGCCCGGAGCUCAACUCCGGAACUGCCUUUAAGACUGCAUCGCUAGAAUCCGGGAGAGGUGAGUGGAAUUCCGAGUGUAGAGGUGAAAUUCGUAGAUAUUCGGAAGAACACCAGUGGCGAAGGCGGCUCACUGGACCGGCAUUGACGCUGAGGUACGAAAGCGUGGGGAGCAAACAGG
rnacentral:rRNA from 1 species